UUGCUCUUUCACUUCAGCCCCACAUAUACAGGAAUAAUACAGAGAAGUCUAGCAUGACCUCUGUGCAAGGAAAACAUGCAAAUUCAUUAAGAGUUCCAUAUUUUA